AUUCUUUAUCUCUGAAAAGGCAACUUUAUUAACUUAAUUCUGAAAAGUAAUUCACCGCUUUCUGAAACUUCACAAGAAGAAACUUCGGUCUCCGAGGAUGAACAUGUUUUCUAAUCUAUGUUGCUAUGUUUUCUUUCCUCUUCUACUUGGUCUUGCACUUUUUCCACAGAUAUCAUCUCAGCUUGAAACUUCUCACAAGGUAGAACUGCUUCCUGGCUUACAAGGGCCUCUUCCCUUUGAACUUGAAACUGGGUAUGUGGGGUUGGGAGAGUCAGAUGAUGAUAUGCAAGUCUUCUACUACUUUAUUAAGUCAGAGAAGGACCCUGAGAAAGACCCUCUUAUGCUUUGGCUAACUGGGGGCCCCGGUUGCUCUUCAUUUUCUGGCCUUGCUUUUCAAAUAGGUCCAUUUGCAUUUAAAAUUGAGGAGUAUGACGGGAGCUUGCCAAAUUUGGUCUUGAGGCCACAGUCCUGGACCAAGGCUUGUAGCAUUAUUUUUGUAGAUUUACCUUUUGGAACUGGCUUCUCCUAUGCGAAAAAUGUCAGAGCUCAAAGAAAUGACUGGAAUUUAGUUCACCAUUCCUAUCAAUUUAUUAGGAAGUGGCUGAUUGAUCACCCAGAAUUUCUUUCAAAUGAAUUUUACGUUGGAGCUGAUUCAUACUCUGGCAUUCCUGGCCCUGCUAUUGCUCAUGAAAUUUCAAUCGGAAAUGAAAUAGGUCUCCAACCAUGGAUAAAUCUCCAGGGAUAUCUGCUAGGGAACCCCAUAACAACCCGGAGAGAAAAAAAUUAUCAAAUCCCCUAUGCUCAUGGAAUGGGACUUAUUUCUGAUGAACUCUAUGCUUUACUACAGAGAAAUUGUAAAGGAGAGUAUAUAGAUAUAGAUACCUCAAAUGAAAUUUGUCUUAGAGAUCUCGACUACUUUGAUGAGUGCCUUUCAGGAAUUAAUAAGUUCUUCAUUUUGGAUAUCUAUUGCAAAGAUGAUUCGGCUUUGUGGAGGAGAUCUCUGACUCAGAAGUCGAUGGCCUCUCUUAAUUCUUAUCUCAGAAUACCAGACAUAAAAUGCCAAAUUUAUAGUUUUUUCCUUGCCACUCAAUGGGCCAAUGAUGAGAGUGUUCGCAAGGCGCUGCAUAUUCGAGAGGGAACUAUAGACAAAUGGGAACGAUGUUACACUACUGAUUUUGACCAUCAGAUCCAGAGUAGCUUUGAGUUUCAUGUAAAUCUCAGUGCAAAAGGCUAUCGUUCCUUAAUAUACAGUGGGGAUCAUGACCUUGUUGUUCCUUUCACAUCGACUCAAGCAUGGAUAAGGGCUCUAAACUACUCCAUUGUGGACGAUUGGAGACCAUGGUUUUUAAAUGGCCAAGUUGCAGGGUAGGCAUGAAACUUAUAGCUUUGAUAAAUUAAUUUGACUUGUUUUACAUGUUUUUGCUUAUCCAGAAAAAGAAAACAAAACUUGUUUUACAUGUCAAACCCCCAAAGAGAAUCUCAGAAUCCGACCAUUGCUUCUACACCAUCAUGUAUACUGUUCUUAGUGGGAAAAGUUUGGGUCCCUUUAAGCAUAUGGGACCAUGAGCUUGAUUCCAGGAUUUCUGUGUAUAGAGAAAAUAGAGGAAACAUCAUUGGGUAAGGGAUACCUUGAAAACAAUCUUUAUUAGUAUAUUCUAUAUAGUACAGGGAAAAGAUUAAUAUUAGAAAAGGAGAUACACCUUAUUCUUGUUUUCCACUCACUAUAAACUAAGAAGAAAUCCAAAACUUUCAAUCCUAUUAUACCAUUAUUUAUUUUUUAUAUCUCACAUUUCCUUACAAGAACAUCCUAAGACAGCAUGUAUCCAAAUCUUUGUGAUAAUUUUCCUUCCUUGCAGAUACACAAGGGCUUACUCGAAUAAAAUGACAUUUGCAACUGUGAAGGGUUCAGGACAUACAGCUCCCGAGUACAAGCCUGAUGAAGGUUUCGCCAUGUUCACUAGGUGGAUAGCUAAUGAGCCUUUGUAACUCAGCUUGUGUGUUAGUGGCAAUAUCUUUAGUCACCAAUAUUUAAAGAUUCUGUGUACUUAGUGGCAAUACAAUGACAAAUAAUUAUUUGACACAUCUGUACUAUCUCUGAUAUGAUAUCCCUUUUUCAUUUCUCUUAGUCUGAGAUAUUCAAUAUUAUAU